rnacentral:tRNA from 1 species
GUGAUUAUAGCUCAGUUGGUUAGAGCGUCGGAUUGUGGUUCCGAAGGUCGCGGGUUCGAGCCCCGUUUUUCACCCC